rnacentral:sRNA from 1 species
UUCUUAUGUUUUUCUCACCAUCUCUUUGUGAACCCUAAACAUUCAGGUCACCAUGGAGACGGCUGCAGCAAUUCAUUCAGGAGUUUGUAAAGACAACACUGAUCCUAUGAAGGUAUAACAUGU